rnacentral:rRNA from 1 species
AUUGAACGCUGGCGGCAUGCUUUACACAUGCAAGUCGAACGGCAGCGCGGGCUUCGGCCUGGCGGCGCGUGGCGAACGGGUGAGUAAUACAUCGGAACGUGCCCCGUAGUGGGGGAUAGCUCGGCGAAAGCCGGAUUAAUACCGCAUACGACCUGAGGCUGAAACCGGGGGAUCUUCGGACCUCGCGCUAUUGGAGCGGCCGAUGGCAGAUUAGCUAGUUGGUGGGGUAAAGGCCUACCAAGGCGACGAUCUGUAGCUGGUCUGAGAGGACGACCAGCCACACUGGAACUGAGACACGGCCCAGACUCCUACGGGAGGCAGCAGUGGGGAAUUUUGGACAAUGGGCGAAAGCCUGAUCCAGCAAUGCCGCGUGUGUGAUGAAGGCCUUCGGGUUGUAAAGCACUUUUGGCGGGAACGAAAAGGACUGUGCCAAUACCACGGUUCGAUGACGGUACCCGCAGAAUAAGCACCGGCUAACUACGUG